rnacentral:lncRNA from 1 species
AAAUUCGAUGCUCUAGACUCAAUGGUGACAUCCACUUUUCGAAAAAAAUGUCAUUUUCACAGAGUUGACCCCCAAAACCCAAAAUCAAAACUUUUCAAAUCAAAGAUCAAAAUGAGAUUUAAAAGACAUAAAAACACACCAACUAUAUUACAAUACUAAAAUCGAUGUUUCGGAUCUGGUGGUGUAGUUUAUUUUGCCAUCCGAUGUAUAUAUCAAAUGUUGUUGACUGAAGUCAACUAUACGGCUCUCAAAACCACCAAAAACCACAAUAUUGCAUAAAUCACACUAAAAAUACAUCAAGAAC